rnacentral:rRNA from 1 species
CCUACGGGAGGCUGCAGUGGGGAAUAUUGGACAAUGGGCGAAAGCCUGAUCCAGCCAUGCCGCGUGUGUGAAGAAGGCCUUCGGGUUGUAAAGCACUUUCAGUGGGGAAGAAAGCCUUGGGGCUAAUACCCUCGAGGAAGGACAUCACCCACAGAAGAAGCACCGGCUAACUCCGUGCCAGCAGCCGCGGUAAUACGGAGGGUGCGAGCGUUAAUCGGAAUUACUGGGCGUAAAGCGCGCGUAGGCGGUCUGAUAAGCCGGUUGUGAAAGCCCCGGGCUCAACCUGGGAACGGCAUCCGGAACUGUCAGGCUAGAGUGCAGGAGAGGAAGGUAGAAUUCCCGGUGUAGCGGUGAAAUGCGUAGAGAUCGGGAGGAAUACCAGUGGCGAAGGCGGCCUUCUGGACUAACACUGACGCUGAGGUGCGAAAGCGUGGGUAGCAAACAGGAUUAGAUACCCCAGUAGUC